UAGCUUUGUCCAAAGUCAAAAUUAUCUAACUUUGGCCAAGUUCAUAGAAAAGAUAUUACCAUCUACAUUAUCAAACAAAUACACUAUCAAAAUAUGUGUCCUAGUGUAUUUAAUGAAUCUAGUUUGAUGUUGUAGAUGUUUAUGCAUUUUUCUAUAUACUUGGCCAAAGAGAGAUAAGUUUGACUUAGGACAAACCUAC
rnacentral:pre_miRNA from 1 species